CUGAAACUCUCUCAAAAACGAGCAUUCCAUUUACUCAAUUGUCAGACAGCCCAAAGAGAUAAUAUGGAUAUGGAAAUGAUCUCUCCCAAAUGGAUGCUGAGCAUGAUUUAUGAGGGAAAUACGAUGACCUAAAGAGAAGGUGUGCUCACCUUGCACCCUGAGAUGUGCCACAACGGAGGUUCCUUCUGCCUCACAGGAAUACAUCCCCCCAUCCUGGGGCUCCACACAGCUAAUGUACAACCGCGCAACAGUCCAGUCCUGUUCCACUAUCACCCUGCGACCGUCUGCUUGCACAGAUGACUUUGGCUCCAGCUUUGUCAAGUUCACAUCGAAAAACUGCAUUUUCCCCAGCUUCACUUUCUAGAUCUUUCAGAGAUGAUUUGAAAAGAACUGGCAGUGCUGCAAAAGGUG